rnacentral:lncRNA from 1 species
CCAUGUUCACAAGGGUGAAAGCUGCAUUGACACCCUGCUAAGGCCACCAAGACUUGAGGAUCUAAGGACAGAAGAAGAGCAUGCUUUUUCAUUCUCUCCCUCACAUACACUAGCUAUUCAUUAGGAAGAAAAAGAAAUGGGGGAUGCCUUGUUCCCCUCUUUCUAGGCUGUAUAGGAACCAGAAGCAUAACUAUGGCGCCAUUAGGAAUCUCACAAACAUGGUGGAAAGCAAAGGGGAAGCAGGCACAUCUUUCAUGGCUGGAGCAGGAGGAAGAGAACAAGGCUACUUAACAUGAAAAGCACAUGGAUGAAGACCUUUAUGUUGAUACGUUUCCACUUAAUGAAUAGUAAGUAUAUUUUGUCUUCCCUAAAAUUUUCUUAAUAACAUUUUCUAUUCUCUAGAUUAUUAUAAGAA